ACAAUGUCAUCACAUGUUUCACCUACCAUGCAUCGAUACAUGGUUGUUGAGACAUGGCUCCUGUCCAUUGUGCAGACGGGAUCUAUAGGUGGUUUGGUUCUACUCAGUAUAUAGUUAGUUGUAAGGUUAUUUUAGUUUUUUUCAUACUUACUGAUAAGGGUUCACCCUCUAUGUUUGUCAUAUCAUAGAGAAGCCUAUGUAAUCCAGUAUGGUCAUUGUAGAAAGAAUUUUGAGCUAUUAUAG
rnacentral:misc_RNA from 1 species